rnacentral:lncRNA from 1 species
AAAGAUCUCAAGCUGGAGAAUUUAAUGCCAGCAAAGGAUGGUUUGAUAAUUUUCAACAGAGGUUUGGCUUUAGAAAUGUAAAGAUAACAUGAGAAGCAGCUUUUACCUACCAAGAGGCAGCAGGAUCAACACCUCUAGAGGAGAGAAAGAAGCAGGACUGGACAGCAGGAGAGUCAUGUUCCGAUGCAGUUACAAUGAAAGCCUCAGCCAACCCCGGAGAGCUCUAAAGCUGGAAUGCCCUUCCCAGUUCUGAGUUGAAAGCAGGAAGCUGAGCCUUAACCUUCCUAUAUCACGUGGUCAUUCCAUGACAGAGGGUGUAAUCUUGGAAAGGGUGGCUCUCUUCAACUAAGGACAAUCCAGGGGAAGGACUCACAUGCAAGAUCUCAGCCACCAAGACUCCCAGCAGCUUUACUGUCUCCGUCCUGAGGGGAUGAAUCUGUGUACCCCAGCAUCCACCAACACAAAUACAGAUUUGGAUUAGAUAACCUCUCAUAGUCCAGCCUGAGUGGGGUGGAUUUAUGGCCUUCGACCC